rnacentral:rRNA from 1 species
UACAGAGGGGGCAAGCGUUGUUCGGAAUUACUGGGCGUAAAGGGCGCGUAGGCGGCCUGCUAAGUCGAACGUGAAAUCCCCGGGCUCAACCCGGGAACUGCGUCCGAUACUGGCAGGCUUGAAUCCGGGAGAGGGAUGUGGAAUUCCAGGUGUAGCGGUGAAAUGCGUAGAUAUCUGGAGGAACACCGGUGGCGAAGGCGGCAUCCUGGACCGGCAUUGACGCUCAGGUGCGAAAGCUAGGGGAGCGAACAGG